UGGAGCACACAGAUCCCAGGCCUUUCUCUCCAACCACCGCAGUCUUUGGCUAUAAAUCUGGAGACUAUGCUACUCAGAAAAUGAAAGUUCAUAAGGAAAAUGCAUGGUGUUGAACAGGAAGACAAAAUGCCCCCACACAUAUUGGUUUGUUAAUUCAUUCAACAAAUGUUUUCUGAAUACUACUGUGUACAAGUGAGCAGAAGAGCAAUUUCGAGAGAUUUCAAAAGAAGAAAAAGCUAUUCAGUCUAUACAAAUGAAGAGUUCUCCAUGACCAACCAACCAGAUUUAUUCAGGCCUCUUAUUGCCAGUCUGAUCCUCUUCACCCUACAUCUCUCCCUCCAACACCCAAGAGGAACUGCUCUGGCUGGAGGCCAUCUCUGAGCGACCUUUGCUUCCCUUUGUCUUGAUCACUCCUCUCCAGUCCAACAGU